rnacentral:rRNA from 1 species
AUUGAACGCUGGCGGCAGGCCUAACACAUGCAAGUCGAGCGGAGCGGCGGACGGGUGAGUAAUGCCUAGGAAUCUGCCUGGUAGUGGGGGAUAACGUCCGGAAACGGGCGCUAAUACCGCAUACUAUCAGAUAAGCCUAGGUCGGAUUAGCUAGUUGGUGGGGUAAAGGCCUACCAAGGCGAUGAGCCGUAACUGGUCUGAGAGGAUGAUCCUUCACGCUGGAACUGAGACACGUGCCAGAAUCCUACGGGAGGCAGCAGGGGGGAAUAUGUGACGAUGGGCGAAAGCCUGAACCAGCCAUGCCGCAGGGUUGAAGAAGGUCUUCGGAUUGUAAAGCACUUGAAGUUGGGAGGCGUUACCAACAGAAUAAGCACCGGCUAACUUCGUGCCAGCAGCCGCGGUAAUUC